CGGCGGUGCAGGAUGAGCCCGCGGCCUAUCAGCUUGUUGGUGAGGUAGUGGCUCACCAAGGCGACGACGGGUAGCCGGCCUGAGAGGGCGACCGGCCACACUGGGACUGAGACACGGCCCAGACUCCUACGGGAGGCAGCAGUGGGGAAUAUUGCACAAUGGGCGAAAGCCUGAUGCAGCGACGCCGCGUGAGGGAUGACGGCCUUCGGGUUGUAAACCUCUUUCAGCAGGGAAGAAGCGAAAGUGACGGUACCUGCAGAAGAAGCGCCGGCUAACUACGUGCCAGCAGCCGCGGUAAUACCCAGGGCGCAAGCGUUGUCCGGAAUUAUUGGGCGUAAAGAGCUCGUAGGCGGCUUGUCACGUCGGUUGUGAAAGCCCGGGGCUUAACCCCAGGUCUGCAGUCGAUACGGGCAGGCUAGAGUUCGGUAGGGGAGAUCGGAAUUCCUGGUGUAGCGGUGAAAUGCGCAGAUAUCAGGAGGAACACCGGUGGCGAAGGCGGAUCUCUGGGCCGAUACUGACGCUGAGGAGCGAAAGCGUGGGGAGCGAAC
rnacentral:rRNA from 1 species